rnacentral:rRNA from 1 species
CUGGCGGCGUGGAUUAGGCAUGCAAGUCGAACGGGAAAGCUCCCUUCGGGUGGGUGAGUAUAGUGGCGAACGGGUGAGUAACGCGUGGGAAACCUGCCCUUAAGUGGGGGAUAACAGGCCUAACGGCCUGCUAAUACCGCAUGUGUCCCCGGAAUCGCAUGGUUCCGGGAAGAAAGGUGGCCUCUCCUUGGAAGCUAUCGCUUAAGGAUGGUCCCGCGUCCCAUUAGCUUGUUGGUGGGGUAAUGGCCUACCAAGGCGACGAUGGGUAGCCGGCCUGAGAGGGUGUCCGGCCACACUGGGACUGAGAUACGGCCCAGACUCCUACGGGAGGCAGCAGUCGAGAAGCUUCGGCAAUGGGCGAAAGCCUGACCGAGCGACGCCGCGUGAGCGAUGAAGGUCCUAUGGAUUGUAAAGCUCUGUCAGAUUGGGAAGAAAACUUCGCGAUUAAUACCCGCGAAGCUUGACGGUACCAUCAGAGGAAGCACCGGCUAACUACGUGCCAGCAGCCGCGGUAAAACGUAGGGGACAAGCGUUAUCCGGAUUCACUGGGCGUAAAGAGCGUUGAGGCGGUUCCGUAAGUUGGGCGUGAAAGCUCCGGGCUUAACUCGGAGAUGUCGUUCAAUACUGCGGGGCUUGAGGACAGCAGAGGAAGGUGGAAUUCCCGGUGUAGUGGUGAAAUGCGUAGAUAUCGGGAGGAACACCCGUGGCGAAGGCGGCCUUCUGGGCUGUUCCUGACGCUGAAGGCGAAAGCUAGGGGAGCGAACGGGAUUAGAUACCCCGGUAGUCCUAGCUGUAAACGAUGGAUGCUGGGUGUGGGGGGUGUAAAUUCCCUCUGUGCCGAAGCAAACGCGUUAAGCAUCCCGCCUGGGGACUACGGCCGCAAGGCUAAAACUCAAACGAAUUGACGGGGGCCCGCACAAGCAGCGGAGCGUGUGGUUUAAUUCGAUGCUACACGAAGAACCUUACCUGGGUUUGACAUGCACGUGGUAGGGAACCGAAAGGGGACCGACCUUCGGGAGCGUGCACAGGUGCUGCAUGGCUGUCGUCAGCUCGUGCCGUGAGGUGUCGGGUUAAGUCCCGUAACGAGCGCAACCCUUGCCCUUAGUUACAAGUGUCUAAGGGGACUGCCCGGGACAACUGGGAGGAAGGUGGGGAUGACGUCAAGUCAGCAUGGCCUUUAUAUCCAGGGCUACACACACGCUACAAUGGCCGGUACAAUAGGUUGCGAAGUCGUGAGGCGGAGCCAAUCCUCAAAGCCGGUCUCAGUUCGAAUUGCAGUCUGCAACUCGACUGCAUGAAGCUGGAGUUGCUAGUAAUCGCAGGUCAGCUAUACUGCGGUGAAUACGUUCCCGGGCCUUGUACACACCGCCCGUCACGUCAUGGAAG